CAGCCGCCGCGGUAAUACCGGCGGCCCGAGUGGCGGCCACUAUUAUUGGGCUUAAAGCGUCCGUAGCCGGGUUGGUUAGUCUCCCGGGAAAUCUGGCCGCUUAACGGUCAGAAUUCCGGGAGAUACUGCCAGCCUAGGGAACGGGAGAGGCCGAGGGUAUUCCCGGAGUAGGGGUGAAAUCCUAUAAUCCCGGGAGGACCACCUGUGGCGAAGGCGCUCGGCUGGAACGCGUCCGACGGUGAGGGACGAAGGCCAGGGGAGCAAACCGGAUUAGAUACCCGGGUAGUCCUGGCUGUAAACGAUGCGGACUUUGUGUCGGACAAGCUAUGAGCUUGUCCGGUGCCGGAGGGAAACCGUUAAGUCCGCCGCCUGGGGAGUACGGCCGCAAGGCUGAAACUUAAAGGAAUUGGCGGG
rnacentral:rRNA from 1 species